rnacentral:rRNA from 1 species
UACGGAGGGUGCGAGCGUUGUCCGGAAUCAUUGGGCGUAAAGGGCGCGUAGGUGGCCCCUCAAGCGUGCGGUGAAAGUCAGGGGCUCAACCCCUGAUCGGCCGUGCGAACUGGGGAGCUUGAGCACUGUAGAGGCAGGCGGAAUUCCGGGUGUAGCGGUGGAAUGCGUAGAUAUCGGGAGGAACACCAGUGGCGAAGGCGGUUGCCUGGGGCUUUGCUGACGCUGAUGCGCGAAAGCGUGGGGAGCGAUCCGG